AUGACGGUUGCGGCCAAUGCCCCCCGAAUUCUUGCCGAGGAGAUGGUUGCCAUUGAGGCUCGUCUCCAGGCUGCGCAUCGGGCUCUUCACCAUCUGCAGUGUGCUGGAGCUCAAGUGGUCUCCGCCCUUUGGCCGGGCACUCCUGUUCUACACACCGUCAGCCGGACCUCUGACUGGUUGGAGGAGGCCAUCGGCCGCAUCGAGGCGUGGAAGGGCUCCUCCGCUCGGGCAGGUGCUCACCGAGCUUUGGAGUUUGUCAAGGGGUGGUACCCUGGGCUGAAUUUGGACCAGCUUGCCACCCUUCAUGCCGAAGCUGGCACGGAGCUAGAGGCGGUGGCGCCUCAACUUCGUCAUCGUGCCGCGGCGAUCGCCGAGUAUACAGACACCAACUUCUUCCUCCCUGAGCUUGAUGAAGCGGGCACCAACGUCUUCCUCCCAACUGGUUCGGGCUGA
rnacentral:rRNA from 1 species